AUUGAACGCUGGCGGAAUGCUUUACACAUGCAAGUCGAACGGCAGCACGGGUGCUUGCACCUGGUGGCGAGUGGCGAACGGGUGAGUAAUAUAUCGGAACGUACCCAUUAAUGGGGGAUAACAUAUCGAAAGAUGUGCUAAUACCGCAUACGCCCUGAGGGGGAAAGCGGGGGAUCUUAGGACCUCGCGUUAUUGGAGCGGCCGAUAUCGGAUUAGCUAGUUGGUGGGGUAAAGGCCCACCAAGGCGACGAUCCGUAGCUGGUCUGAGAGGACGACCAGCCACACUGGAACUGGGACACGGUCCAGACUCCUACGGGAGGCAGCAGUGGGGAAUUUUGGACAAUGGGCGAAAGCCUGAUCCAGCCAUUCCGCGUGCAGGAUGAAGGCCCUCGGGUUGUAAACUGCUUUUGUACAGAACGAAAAGGUUUCUACUAAUACUAGGAGCUCAUGACGGUACUGUAAGAAUAAGCACCGGCUAACUACGUGCCAGCAGCCGCCGUAA
rnacentral:rRNA from 1 species